GUUGCCUUCCUCCAGAAGCUACUGCCAUAGGGUGAGGAUCUUCGCGACACCUGUGAGGUCUGCUAGCAUUGCUUUACGCGCCUCAACGAAAACCUAUCUACAUCUAUGAGAAUUGCGAUGAGGUAGUCGAGGCAUUUCUUCAGGAAGAAGAAGCGAUUGAUAUCUUGAACAGGUCGAUCUUGGCCCACGACUGUAAAUGGAAAACCAAAAGUGGAGGUGGCGGUGUUCUCUGUCAGAGAAACAGCAAAAGCACUAUCGCACAACGAAACAUUGCACAACUAAAGCAUCGCCUGUGCCUCAUGCUGCUGUUUCAUCAAAGAUCAAGGUCAUCGCCCUUGGAGGGACUUUAUGCAUGGCAGCAUGGUUCGAGUUCCACACGGAGGAUCCUGAAGCUAAUUCUUCCAAGGCAGAGUGGGG
rnacentral:lncRNA from 1 species